rnacentral:rRNA from 1 species
UACGAAGGGGGCUAGCGUUGUUCGGAAUCACUGGGCGUAAAGGGCGCGUAGGCGGUUUGUUAAGUCAUGUGUGAAAGCCCCCGGCUCAACCGGGGAACGACGCAUGAAACUGGCAGCUAGAGUACAGUAGAGGGUAGUGGAAUUUCCGGUGUAGCGGUGAAAUGCGUAGAUAUCGGAAGGAACACCAGUGGCGAAGGCGGCUACCUGGACUGAUACUGACGCUGAGGCGCGAGAGCGUGGGGAGCAAACAGG